UUUUUCUGACUUUGUUUUUUGAGGGCCGCACCCGUGGCAUAUGGAGGUUCCCAGGCUAGGGGUGGAAUCAGAGCUCUUGCUGCCGGCCUACACCAUAGCCACAGCAACGCCAGAUUGGAGCCGCAUCUGCGACCUACACCACAGCUCACGACAACACUGGAUCCUUAACCCACUGAGCAAGGCCAGGGAUUGAACCCACAACCUCAUGGUUCCUGGUCGGAUUUGUUAACCACUGAGCCACGAUGGGAACUCCACCUUUUAUUUUCAAUAAAAUUAAUAACAGAUACACAUUUUUAAAGGACAAAUAGAACUACAAGGCUUAUAAUGAAAAAAAUUGGCAAUAUCUGACACCUGGGUCCCCCCUCAGCCAUUUGUGUUCUCUGCCUGUUUCUUCCAGCUCUCACCUUUAUAUGUGUCAGUGACAGCGACUGACUUUUCACUUCCAGGUACAAUCUAAUGAAAGAGGGAUUUAGCUGUUACCCUGACACCCCUACACCCUUUGCCCUGCCCCGUCCUCUCAGUGUGACCACACACCUCUAGUUUCUUUUUUGUCUUUUCAGGACCGCACCAAGGCAUGUGGAAGUUCCCAGGCUAGGGGUGGAAUCGGAGCUGUUGCCACCGGCCUACACCACAGCCACAGCAACACCAGAUCCAAGCCGCGUCUGUGACCUACACCACCGCUCACAGCAACACCGGAUCCUUAACCCACUGGGAGAGGCCAGGGAUCGAACCUGCAACCUCAUGGCUCCUAGUUGGAUUCAUUUCCACUGCGCCAUGACAGGAACUCCUCACCUCUAGUUCUCUGAGACCUGUAACAGGCCCUGUCUCCUCAGGCCUGGUGUGAAGAUAAAAUGACCUCCUGAGCCUGGUGCACAGCAGGUGUUCAAUAAAUGCAGCUAUUCAGUGAUAAAUACCUGCUGAAUGGUUCAAGUAAGUUUAAUCUUUUUUAUUGUGAGUAGUUUCAGACAUACACAAAAGUAGAGAGAAUUUGGAGUUCCUAUCUUAGCUCAGAAGUAAGGAACCCGACUAGUAUCCAUGAGCAUGGGGGUUCAAUCCCUGGCCUCGCUCAGUGGGUUAAGGGUCAUGGCCUUGCCAUAAGCUGUGGUGUAAGCCAGCAGCUGCAACUUUGAUUGGAUCCCUAGCCUGGGAACGGCCAUGUGCCACAGGUGUGGCCCUGUUAUUUAAUGUGCUAAUAAAGACACUACUACAUUGGGAGUUCCCUGGCAGCUCAGUGGGUUAAGGAUCCUGUAUAAUUACUGCUCUGGCACAGGUGUGAUCCCUGGCCCCAGGAAUUUCCACAUGCUGUGGGAACAGNAAAAAAAAAAAAAAAAAAAAAAGACACUACUGCUUUGUACAUGUGCUUAAAAUUUUUAUUGUUUUUCUAUAUAAUUGGUUUCCUCCAGCUAUUCAUUUAAAAAUACUGCCCUGCCUCAGGGAGUUCCCACUAUGGCACAACAAGAUCAAUAGCAUCUCUGCAGCAACAGGAUGCAGGUUCAACCCCUGGCCUGGCGCAGAGGGUUAGAGGAUCCAGCACUGCCACAGCUACAGCAUUGGUUAAAGUUGCGGCUGGGGAGUUCCUAUCAUGGCACAUGAGGGCUUUUCACCAUAAUUUAAGCUCCAAAUCUAACAUAUGCAUUGGUUUUGGGGGUAAACUGCCCAGGUUUCAAAGAUUUCACAAUCAAAAAGAACUACAGCUUAGGUUAUUAGGAAAACGUGUUUUUCAUUUAACUUGUAUUGACCCAAACCAGGGGUUACUAAUUUAGAUGCAUAAACACAAACUGUCAUCCUUUUAUUGGGAACUCGGCAUGGAUCUGAAGUCAAACAAGCUCCCCACUCCCAAACUUACAGAGGUUGUGCCACCUAACAAAAAGCAAAAAACGCCACCUCUUGCACGGUGACCGUGAACAACUCCUGUCUCAGCUCAGCUGCAAAAAUGAGACUGGGUUGGUUCUGCUCAGGCCUAACAUUCUCCACGUUGUAACUGAUACAUAGACCAAAUGCCUGCUAGACAUAAACGUUAAAAAAGAACUGGACAUUAGAACUAACCAAAAAGCAAUUUCACAAAAGGCAGCCAAACUAAUUCGUGGUAAGGGAAAUUAUUUAGCAUGAGUUCAUGGCCUGAUUCAAUGCCAAUCUGUUAGCAAUGGAAAAAUGGUAGAGUCAGAUUUAUCAGGUAGCCUCCCUAUAAUCAAUAAAUUGAAAAGAUACUCGGAAAAAGAUACAAGGUGUCUUUUAAUUCACAUCUGCUACCCUCUCUCCACAGGUGUGCCUUCCUAAACAGCAGCAUCUUGACGCUGCUGGAAAUUUAAUGGAGGUUUCAGGAAGGGAACCAUCAGGAACGAAGGAGCUGAGGAGACAUUCAAAGAGCUGUGGGUAACAGUCCACCCCUUUGUCCUGUGAGGUCCUGCCCAGGCCACAUCCCCUGCAGGAUAUUCAGCACACCUCCCCAGCCACCAUUAGUGAGCUCACUUCUCAGAGAGUCUAGAAACUUCACCCAACUCUAAUGAUCCUUCCAAUCUUCUACUUUCUUCUAUAGCUGUUGACAUUCCUUUUCUGGUGGAUUGGAAAGUUUGUACAAAGUUGGAGCUUUUGAGACACUUGAAAUGGUCAAGCGCUAUUACACAGAACCUCUCUGUCAGAGCCUCCAUUUUUUGAUGAACCAAAAAGCAACCAUCCCAUGCACCGAGCUGCAGACAGAACCAGCCGCAGUCUCUGCCCUCAGAGUUGGAAGCGUAAAAGCUCGCAGACCUAGGUGUAAAAUACCAAGUUUAAUCACGUGGCAUUAGUCAUUUGUCUUGUUGCCAAAUCAA
rnacentral:lncRNA from 1 species